rnacentral:rRNA from 1 species
UACGUAGGUGGCGAGCGUUGUCCGGAUUUACUGGGCGUAAAGAGCGCGCAGGCGGUCGUACAAGUCGCGUGUGAAAGCCCCCGGCUCAACUGGGGAGGGUCACGCGAUACUGUUCGACUCGAAGGCAGGAGAGGGAAGUGGAAUUCCCGGUGUAGUGGUGAAAUGCGUAGAUAUCAGGAGGAACACCUGUGGUGUAGACAGCUUACUGGACCACGACUGACGCUGAGACACGAAAGCGUGGGUAGCAAACAGG